UCCCUCGAGCCGGAUUUGAACCAGCGACCUAAGGAUCACCGUUGUAACAUCUACAGUCCUCCGAUCGGCCAAAUGAGCUAUCGAGGG
rnacentral:tRNA from 1 species